UACGGAGGGUGCAAACGUUGCUCGGAAUCAUUGGCCGUAAAGCGCACGUAGGCGGCCCGCAAAGUCGGAUGUGAAAUCCCUCGGCUCAACCGAGGACGUGCAUUCGAUACUGGCGGGCUUGAAUAUGGAAGAGGGUCGCGGAAUUCCCGGUGUAGAGGUGAAAUUCGUAGAUAUCGGGAGGAACACCAGUGGCGAAGGCGGCGACCUGGGCCAAUAUUGACGCUGAGGUGCGAAAGCGUGGGGAGCAAACAGG
rnacentral:rRNA from 1 species